AAGCUCACGGUCGCGCACUUUCUCUGCCUCCCCUACCCAGCAUUUUCCCAGAGCGAGGCUCGCCCUUUGCACUCUAGGUGUGCUGACCCCUGCAGUUUCCCCGAAUGUGGGAAACUGGACUAUAUAAUUUGUAAGGUAAAGGUAAAGGGACCCCUGACCAUU